ACGGAGACAAAUGUUCCCUUACAUCUUUUUAUCCUCCUCCUCUCUCUCUCUCUCUCAAAAAAUCUUGAACGAGACUGUGAGCAGUGGUGACUGUGAGGAAGAAGCACAAGGAAGGCUUGAAGAAGGCACUUGUAAAACGUUUGGAUGCUCUCACCGACAAGAUCGGAAGGAAUGUUGUGUUGCAGCUUGUUAGCACCGAUAUGGAUCCAAAAACGACUUUGAUGAUGAUGAGCAGUACCGUGAGAACCCCUCCUCCUCCUCCUCCUCCUUAAGCCGUCGGGCCAGUUUGGUUGAGAGGAAAUCGCUUCUUCCUGCUGUGGCGGCAUCCACCCGGAUGUCGUCUGCGCUGAUUCGGCGGCUGGGGAUUGGGAGGUCACGGCUCAGGUCCAGGGAUUUCAAGAACAUGUCCAUUUUCGCCACAAUUGACAAGACAUGGUGUAAAACAGUUGACAGGGCUUCAAAGGUCUUCUUGGAGAUGCUUUACAACCGGCACAAGCGCUUGACAAAUGAUAUUGCUUAGUCCAUGCUAUUUCACACUGUGGAAAUUUUUAUCUGACUUGGGGUGUUGGGAAGGAAGGUUUGGCCCUUGUGCACUACUAGCGUCUAACUUAUAUUUACUUAUUCUUGUAUAUGUAUUUUAUUACCACAACAAAAUAAUUGUUGUAUUUUGUGUCAUACAAAUUAAGUUUUUUGCCCUCAAAGUUGUCUUUUAUGGAGUUGUGUGAUUUAAAUUGGUAAUCUAAUUUUCCCAUUAUGAUUUAUAAAAUCCAAUAAACAUUUUACUGUGGAAAUUUUUAUCUGACCUAGCGUGUGGUGGAAGGAAAGCUUGGUCCUUGUGCACUUCUAGCAUCCAACUUAUAUUUACUAUUCUUGUAUAGGUAUUUUUAUCACCACAACGAAAUAAUUGUUGUAUUUUGUGUCAUAUAAAUUAAGUUCUGCCCUUAAAGUUGUCUUUUAUGGAGCUAUGUGUGACUUUAAUUUGAUUAUCCACUUUUCCUAUUCUGAAUUAUAAAAUCCAGUAAACAUUUUGUUGUUGGUAAGCAAUAUUGAUCUUGUGACAACCCUGUUAAUCAUUGGUUUUGAAUGUUAUUUAAGUGCUUUCUGUGAAUUUGAAUGCUUAUUAUGUGUUUAAUGUGAUUUUUAGGUUCAUAUCUGUUAACCGUAGGAAUAUCUAUUGUGAUUUCGGUUAUAAUCUGAAAUUGAAGGCCUUAAUGAUGUCAGAAGUUUGAUAAAAUUUGAUUAAGAUUAAAUUAAUUAAAUUAAGCCUUGAUUAAUUAGUCUUAAGCUCUAUUUAACUAACUUGAUCCCUAAUUAAGGCCCUAAGCUAAACUAUGAGAAAUGUUAAUUAAUCUCAUUUAGACAUAAAAAUCUGCCGACAAUUAAAGUUUAGAGAGAGAAGAAACUCAAUUUCAGAGAGAAGAGCUUGGAAGCUUGGAAUUUUGCUUGAGAAUUGAAGAAUUGAGGAAGAGACAACUUAAGAAAUUGCUAGAAUUAGUGUUCUUGAAGACUUUAGGUAUGUGUUUAAUACCGAAUUCAUAAAUUGAAGUUGAAAAAUGCACUUUUUUCACACUUAAGCUUUAAAAUAGUCCAUCGGGAGCCAAAAUCGUGUAACAGUCACGAGAAGUCCAGGGUAACACCUCGAACACCUCGGGGGGGACCAAUGUAAGUUGUGAAAACUUACAGAAUUAGCUCGGGACUCUCGGUUUGAAAAUUAUGUCAAAAAAUGUA